GAUGAACGCUGGCGGCGUGCCUAAUACAUGCAAGUCGAGCGAACAGACGAGGAGCUUGCUCCUCUAACGUUAGCGGCGGACGGGUGAGUAACACGUGGAUAACCUACCUAUAAGACUGGGAUAACUUCGGGAAACCGGAGCUAAUACCGGAUAAUAUAUUGAACCGCAUGGUUCAAUAGUGAAAGACGGUUUUGCUGUCACUUAUAGAUGGAUCCGCGCCGCAUUAGCUAGUUGGUAAGGUAACAGCUUACCAAGGCAACGAUGCGUAGCCGACCUGAGAGGGUGAUCGGCCACACUGGAACUGAGACACGGUCCAGACUCCUACGGGAGGCAGCAGUAGGGAAUCUUCCGCAAUGGGCGAAAGCCUGACGGAGCAACGCCGCGUGAGUGAUGAAGGUCUUCGGAUCGUAAAACUCUGUUAUUAGGGAAGAACAAAUGUGUAAGUAACCAUGCACGUCUUGACGGUACCUAAUCAGAAAGCCACGGCUAACUACGUG
rnacentral:rRNA from 1 species